UACGGAGGGUGCAAGCGUUAUCCGGAUUCACUGGGUUUAAAGGGUGCGUAGGUGGGCAGGUAAGUCAGUGGUGAAAUCUCCGGGCUUAACCCGGAAACUGCCGUUGAUACUAUUUGUCUUGAAUAUAGUGGAGGUGAGCGGAAUAUGUCAUGUAGCGGUGAAAUGCUUAGAUAUGACAUAGAACAUCGAUUGCGAAGGCAGCUUGCUACACUAUUAUUGACACUGAGGCACGAAAGCGUGGGGAUCAAACAGG
rnacentral:rRNA from 1 species